UACGUAGGGCGCAAGCGUUAUCCGGAAUUAUUGGGCGUAAAGAGCUCGUAGGCGGUUUGUCGCGUCUGCCGUGAAAACCUGCGGCUCAACUGCAGGCUGGCGGUCGAUACGGGCAGGCUGGAGUUCGGUAGGGGAGACUGGAAUUCCUGGUGUAGCGGUGAAAUGCGCAGAUAUCGGGAGGAACACCGGUGGCGAAGGCGGUUCUCUGGGCCUGUACUGACGCUGAGGAGCGAAAGCGUGGGGAGCGAACAGG
rnacentral:rRNA from 1 species